UCCACCUGGGCUUGGAGUUCUGCUGCCACUC
rnacentral:piRNA from 1 species